AUGGCUCAGAUUGAACGCUGGCGGCAGGCCUAACACAUGCAAGUCGAACGGUAACAGGAAUCAGCUUGCUGAUUCGCUGACGAGUGGCGGACGGGUGAGUAAUGUCUGGGAAACUGCCUGAUGGAGGGGGAUAACUACUGGAAACGGUAGCUAAUACCGCAUAACGUCGCAAGACCAAAGAGGGGGACCUUCGGGCCUCUUGCCAUCGGAUGUGCCCAGAUGGGAUUAGCUUGUAGGUGGGGUAACGGCUCACCUAGGCGACGAUCCCUAGCUGGUCUGAGAGGAUGACCAGCCACACUGGAACUGAGACACGGUCCAGACUCCUACGG
rnacentral:rRNA from 1 species